rnacentral:rRNA from 1 species
CAUUCUUCGGAAGAGUGGCGCACGGCUGAGGAACACGUGACUAACCUACCCCGGUGUGGGGGAUAACGGGUCGAAAGACUCGCUAAUCCCGCAUACGAUUCACUUCGGUGAAGGAAAGCCGUAAGGCGCACUGGGCGGGGGUCGCGUCCCAUUAGAUGGUUGGUGUGGUAAUGGCGCACCAAGUCGAUGAUGGGUCUCUGGUCAGAGAGGACGACCAGACAGAUUGGGACUGAGACACGGCCCAAACUCCUACGGGGGGCAGCAGCAAGGAAUUUUCGGCAAUGGGCGCAAGCCUGACCGAGCAACGCCGCGUGGAGGAUGACGGCUCUUGGGUUGUAAACUCCUUUUGGGGGGGACGAUAAUGACGGUACCCUCCGAAUCAGGCCCGGCUAACUACGUGCCAGCAGCCGCGGUAAUACGUAGGGGCCAAGCGUUGUCCGGAAUUACUGGGCGUAAAGCGUGGGUAGGUGGUCGGUGAUGUGCCGCGUGAAAGCGCCGGAGUAAUGCCGGUGAGGUCGCGGUAGACACACGGACUCGAGGCUCGCAGAGGAACGUGGAAUUCCCGGUGUAGUGGUGAAAUGCGUAGAUAUCGGGAGGAACACCAGUGGCGCAAGCGGCGUUCUGGGCGAGACCUGACACUGAGCCACGACGGCGUGGGGAGCAAACAGGAUUAGAUACCCUGGUAGUCCACGCAGUAAACGAUGCAUACCAGGUGUGGGAUGGCGUUCGCGUCGUUCCGUGUCGCAGCUUACGCGAUGAGUAUGC